AGUGAACGCUGGCGGUAGGCCUAACACAUGCAAGUCGAACGGCAGCACAGUAAGAGCCUGCUCUUACGGGUGGCGAGUGGCGGACGGGUGAGGAAUACAUCGGAAUCUACUUUUUCGUGGGGGAUAACGUAGGGAAACUUACGCUAAUACCGCAUACGACCUACGGGUGAAAGCAGGGGAUCUUCGGACCUUGCGCGAUUGAAUGAGCCGAUGUCGGAUUAGCUAGUUGGCGGGGUAAAGGCCCACCAAGGCGACGAUCCGUAGCUGGUCUGAGAGGAUGAUCAGCCACACUGGAACUGAGACACGGUCCAGACUCCUACGGGGGGAAGCAGGGGGGAAUAUUGGAAAAUGGGCGCAAGCCUGAUCCAGCCAUACCGCGUGGGUGAAGAAGGCCUUCGGGUUGUAAAGCCCUUUUGUUGGGAAAGAAAAGCAGCAGGUUAAUACCCCGCUGUUCUGACGGUACCCAAAGAAUAAGCACCGGCUAACUUCGUG
rnacentral:rRNA from 1 species